rnacentral:rRNA from 1 species
UACGGGGGGGGGCAAGCGUUGUUCGGAAUUACUGGGCGUAAAGGGCUCGUAGGCGGCCAACUAAGUCAGACGUGAAAUCCCCUCGGCUUAACCGGGGAACUGCGUCUGAUACUGGAUGGCUUGAAUCCGGGAGAGGGAUGCGGAAUUCCAGGUGUAGCGGUGAAAUGCGCGAUAUCAGGAAGAACACCCGUGGCGAAAAGCGGCUCCUCUGGAACGGUACUGACGCUGAGACGCGAAAGCGUGGGGAGCAAACGG